GAUAUGCACAUAUGCUGCGAGUUGUUCUCAACUGUGCGUGCGUGGUUUGCCUUUCUGUGCUGGCUUUUAUGUUCAAUUUAGUAAAAGCUGUCUUCCACUGCUAGGAUCUUUGGUGUUUUAAACAGCUAGGUUUUUUUUUUUUUUUUUAAUGUACUUCCCUUUACUGUCUCCAUAAAAAGCAAAGAAAAAAGCAGACGGUAGAGAUAUAAAUGAGCCAAGGCGAAAUAUGCUUUCGUGCAGGAAAAAGGAAGAAGCUAAAUCAAAGAAAAAAGACCGAGAGCUCAGGUGCUUCUGAUGGAAAUUUCUGUAUCUCGAUGACCCAAUUUUUCUUAGUUUUCAAGAGAAUCUAAAAUGAUGGAAUGUGUUCCUGUGUAUUCCUUCAAUUUUCCCCCAACACUCCCCAACACCCACACAAGACAAGGCCUUUGGGAAUUUAUUGGUGUACAUUUACUUAAAGUACUAUGGCUUCCGACAUAGCUGUCACUGAAAUACCACCACUGGUGGCAGGCAUCUGGCUUAGCAGUUAAGACCCUGCUUGGGACUCUGGCAUCCCAUUACUGAGCGCCUGGGUUCAAGUCCUGGCUCUGCUUCUGAUUCCAGCUUCCUGCUAAUUCUCAUUCUGGGAUGCAGCAGGUGAUGGCUCAAGUGCCUGGGUCCCACCUAUGUGGGAGACCCUAACUGAGUUCCAGGCUCCUGGGCUCCUGGCUUUAGCCUAGCCCAACCAUGGCUGUUGUGGGCAUUUGGGGAGUGAAUCUGUAGAUGGAAGAUCUUUCUCCCUCUCUGACUUUCAAACAAAUAAGUAAAUAUUUCCUAUUUUUUAUUUAUUUAUUUUUAUUUUUUUAUUUUUUGCCAGGCAGAGUGGACAGUGAGAGAGAGAGAGACAGAGAGAAAGGUCUUCCUUUGCCGUUGGUUCACCCUCCAAUGGCCGCUGCGGCCGGCGCACCGCGCUGAUCUGAUGGCAGGAGCCAGGUACUUCUCCUGGUCUCCCAUGGGGUGCAGGGCCAUCCUCCACUGCACUCCCUGGCCACAGCAGAGAGCUGACUUGGAAGAGGGGCAACCGGGACAGAAUCCGGUGCCCCGGCCGGGACUAGAACCUGGUGUGCCGGUGCCGCAAGGUGGAGGAUUAGCCUAGUGAGCCGCGGCACCGGCAUGUAAAUAUUUUUAAAAAGAAAGAAAUACGUCCUUUGGAUGGUCUUCCUUAAUUCUCCAAGAUGUUAAAGAAGUGAACAUUGUCAAAGGGAAAAAACAUUAAGUGACGAAAGAAUUGUAUGUCUGGGCUAGGACAUAAAGAUGCCUUAAAAUUACUUAAAAAUACACGGAGGGGCAUUUAGCAUGUACUUAAGUCACUGCUUGGGAUGCCACAUUCCCAUAUCAUAGUGCCAGAGUGCCUUCAGGGUUAGCACUAACUGAGCCCCUUAUUCUCCAGAGAAAUUCAUUUUGCAAGGGAACCAUUAAUCCUAUAUUCAAAAAGCUGUUGCUUUUCAAGGUGCAAAAGGGUGGAUGAGCUGGGAGGAACACACAGGGGUUCCAAGUAAUUGAAAUGUGCUGUGGGUUAAGCUGGUGUAGUCAGUGUUCAGGUGUCAGGUGAAGAAAUAUAAGACAUCCUGUGUGUGGGCAGAGAGAAGACCUGCCCCUACCCUAGUCCUUGUCCCAUGGAAAAUCAUGACUCCUUGCUCUAUGGGGGCCUUUUCCCUCCCCCCUUCCUUCCUUCCAUAAACUUCUAAUAUAUGAGAGAGAGAGGAUAUAGAGAAGAACAUUUGGGGUGGGUGUUGUCUGUCCAUCAACAUGUAAUAUGUAAAUAUUCCCGGUGUGGUACCUUUCUUUUCUUCUGUAUCUGGUACCAUCAUGGAAGUAAACACUGGUCAGAGCCUGACAUGGAAAAACUGCAGAAUAACCACACCACAAAUCCAAUGGGCUCUCUGCUGUCUUCCUUUGAUUCCAUGUUGCCAGUCAAUUUCCAGUGGAUAUUAGAACUCAGAGCCUCUGACCCUUGGGAUAAUUGAAGAAACUCUAAGUAGGAGCCAACAAAGAUAAAUUAUAUUUACAAGUCUCCAGAACUAUGUGCUGAAACUUAACUACCACCUGUCAUGUUUCUUUGAAAUAAGAACUGAAUAAUAGAGCUAAAGAUUCAAGCUUCAACAUUCUUCUUUAGAAAUAUCAUGCAUAUUUAUACUGAGGACUUCAAAAAGUUUGUGGAAAAUGUGCAUUUUCUUUUAGUUCAAUUUUCCAUGGACUUUUUGAAUAUGUAUACAAUAUUUAUGUAACAUUUUAUACAAAUGGUCUCAGUUAUUGCUUCUGAAAAGGUUUAUAAUAUUCUUUUGUCUUAUAUCUACCCUUUAUGCUUUUAAAACAGUAUGUUACUGCUAAAAGUCAGUUCCAAAUAGGACCCUCUUGCUCUCCUUCUCUCUCUCUACAUGCAUAAUAUUUUCUUUAAUUGCUCUGCUUUCUUCUAUGCUUUUUCUUUGUUACCUCCUCAGCAGUAGCUGGAGUUUACAUGGGUGACUUUCGUUUCUUAUUUGCCUAUAUAUGGUUCUAAUUAAAAAAUAUUUUAGUUCAAAAGCCUAACAAAAGUCAAAUAAAAUCUCUGCCUGUCAGAGCAUGUUCAUGAGAGAUGAUUAUCAUGGGCCAGUCAAAACAUUGGCUGGAUUUGGGGCAGACGUCUCCUUUUACGUGUGGUCCUGGAGAAGAUUUGCCUCCUAUUCUCUUGAUAAGGGGAGGACAGGCCACUUGGCUGAUGAGUGUCCAAACAGUCCCAUUGUGCAUAUCACCCUUCAGGCAGAUUUCAGUUUUUCUUCUGGUUCUCAACACAACAGUCAGCCAGCCUUAAUUUUUUUUUUAAGAUUUAUUUAUUUAUUUGAAAGGCAGAGUUAGGCAGAGAGAGAGAGAGAGAGAAAGAGAGAGAGAGAGAGAGAGAGAGAGAGAGGAGAAAGUCUUCCGUCCGCUAGUUCACUCCCCAAAUGGCUGCAACAGCCGGAGCUGUGCUCAUCUGAAGCCAGGAGCCAGGAGCUUCCUCUGGGUCUCCCAAGCAGGUGCAGGGGUCCAAGGACUUGGGCCAUCUUCCAUUGCUUUCCCAGGCCAUAGCAGAGAGCUGGAUCAGAAGUGGAACAGCUGGGUUGCGAACCGGUGUCCAUAUGGGAUGCCGGUGCUUCAGGUGGCAUCUUUACCUGCUAUACCACAGCUCUGGCCCCAGCCUUAAUUUUUGAUCCUUGCAAUUCUUAGCUUUUCUCACUACGUUAUUUUUCUUAUUGAGCAGUAUGGUUCUUAAUCCUAAAUUUUCUGAGCAAUCCUUCUGGUAGGAAGCUGUUUGGUAAACUCGUGAAUAUUAGUAGGCACAUCGUUUGACAGCAUGGGUUGUUUUGCUCUGAUGUUUGAUGUUAAUAUUUUUCUGGAACAUUUUGAAGCACUCUCAUCUUUACCUCAUUUAAUCCAUGUCACUUUGUUUCUGGACAUGUUUUCUCUUUUUCAACCCUUUUGCUAUCUUGCAAAAGGUAUUCAGGAUGCUUCCUCUACUCCUUUUCUUAUUCUGUAUCAUUUUAUCUCCCACUCAUAUUUGUGCACCAGCUUCAACCCCUCUCCUGAGUCCAGACAUAUUUAUGCAGUUGCCUGUUGGGGUUCCCAGCCCUGCCAACUUGGAGAUCUUCAGGUUCAAUAUGUUCUAAACCGAGCUCAUUGUUCCCCAGCUCCCAAGCCUCCUCUUCCUCUAUUCCUCUGCUACCUGAUCCCUGUUACCACCCAGUUGUCUAAGCCUAGGAAGCAUCUAAAAGUUCUUCUUCGUCCUCAAUACCAAAUGACCGUCCUAGUCCUACACACUCUAUGUCUUAGGUACCUUUGAAAUCUAUGUCUUCCUUUCACUUUUCACUUUUACUUUCCCGGUUCAGACCUUUCAGUCUCAACACAGUAGGAAAGGUCCUACCGCCUGUUGUAUGGCCUUACGUAAAUGCGUCCUCCAAGCUACCUUCCUUUUGGAAAGGCACUUCUGUGCCUGAAAUAAUGAUUGCCUGUCAUCUUCCAGAGAAGUCUAAGCUCCCAGCAUGCCAGACCUGGAAGAGCUUUUACUAUUGUAUACACCUGAUGGAUUCUUACUUUUAUUUUGUUUUCUUUCUGUUAGUUUUUGUUAAGCCUUCUGUGAUCACCUUAGGCUGUACUUUAUGAUAAUUCAUUGGUGAAUUUGAGUUUUUAGAUUGUGUUUUCUUAUUUAUAUUUUUCUUAGCUUUAUUUUAGUAUCAUUGAAAAAUAAAAAUUAUGUAUGUUUAUAGUGUACAACAUGAUGUUUUAAUACACGUGUGCACUGUGCAGUGCUUGUCACAGUCAAGGUCAUUUACAUAUCCAUCACCUCACAGACACCUUUUUAUGUUUUCUUUUGUGAUGAGAACAUUUAAGAUCUUCGAAGAUCUCAAGCAUACAAUACAAUGUUAGCAAGUGUAAUAUAACAUUAUUACACUUACUUAUCCUGCAAAACUGAGACUCCUUUGUUAAUUGGUUCGCUCUCAAGGAUGAGGGACCUAACAAAAGGUCAUGAAAAAUGCAACUAUGAUAAAAGCACACACAGAUUUCAAAAUUUUUGCCCCCAAAUUAACUUUCUUUUUUAAGGGUUUAUUUAUUUAUUUAUUUGCAAGACAGUUACAAAGAGAUAGGGAAAGACAGAGAGAGAGAGACAGACAGACAGACAGACAGACGGAGUUGAUCUUCCAUCAGCUGAUUCACUUCCCAAAAGGUUGCAGUGACCAGGGCUGGGCCAGGCCAAAGCCAGGAGAGUGGAACUCCAUCCAUGUCUCCCACAUGAGUGCAGGAGCCCAAGGACUUGGGCCAUUCUCUGCUUUCCCAAGUGCAUUAGCAGGGAGCUGGCUUGGAAGUAAACAGGUGGAAUUCAAACCAACACCCAUGAGGGAUGCUGGUGGGCUGGUGUCAUGAGUGGAGACUUAACUCACUGUGCCACAAUGCCCCCUAAACUUAUUCUUUAAUUCAAUUUUUCAUAAACUUUUUGACAUCCUCCUGCAUAACUUGCACAAAUUGGUGUUGACUGAUGGAUUGAUUUGAUUAUCUAUUGAUUUGGUUUUUUAAAGGUGUUCUAAUAUGUUAAAGAAGGAUAUUUUUGUUUCUUGUGUGUGUGUGUGUGCGUGCGUGUGUGGAGAGAGAGAAAGAGAGAGAGAGAGAGAGAGAGAGAGAGCAGUCCCAUCUGUAGGGCUCACUUCCUAAAUGCCAGAAAUGGCCAAGAGAAAAGUCUGGUGCUGGGAACUCAACCCAGGUCUCUCAUAUGGGUGGCAGGAACCUAAUUACUUGAGCCAUCACCACUGCCUCCCAAGUUCUGCAUUAGCAAGAAGUUGAAGUCAAAAGUCACAGCUGAGAACUGAACCCAGGUACUCCAAUAUGGUAUGCAGGCAUCUUCACACUAGGCUAAAUCUCAUCCUUAUUUGACUUUCUUGCUAAGCAAUGAGUUGUGUGAAAUCUGGGACCAUGCCUUUUUCACCUUUAUAUUCAUAGGACCUAGAAUACUCUCAGGUAUUUCAGGGGCAGUGUGAAAUAUUAAUGUUGGGCUGGCGCCAUGGCUCACUUGGUUAAUCCUCUGCCUGAGGCGCCGGCAUCCCAUAUGGGUGCCGGGUUCUAGUCCCGGUUGCUCCUCUUCCAGUCCAGCUCUCUGCUAUGGCCCGGGGAAGGCAGUGGAGGAUGGCCCAAGUGCUUGGGCCACUGCACCUGCUGGGAGACCAGGAGGAAGCACCUGGCUCCUGGCUUCGGAUCGGUGUAGCUCCGGCUGUUGUAGCCAUUUGGGGAGUGAACCAAUGGAAGGAAGACCUCUCUCUCUCUCUCUCUCUCUCUCUCUCUCACUGUCUGUAACUCUACCUGUCAAAUAAAAAAAAAAGAAAAAAAGAGAAAUAUUUACUGGUUAAAUAUUCACAAUUUAACUAUUGACUACUGCUUACUGCAAAUGAGCACAGUUAUUCAUUCUGCACACCAUCUCCACUCUGUCUUGUUUCUCCAUUUAUUGCAGCUCACUCCACACUUAAACAUAGACCCUAAUGUGCUCCCAACAUCCAAGAGGAUGGUUGGCCUAAAGGGUCACAUAGACUUUAGAUUCAGAUGAGACUGGUCCUCAGUUGUCUUACCUGUAAAAUGGAAAUGGUGACCCCUAACUCAUAGAGCUACUAUGGAAAGUGCCUAAACUAUCGCAUGGAAUAUUUAAGUGUUCAAGAACAGAGGGGGAGAUGCUGACAAAGAAUAACAAAAUAUCUAGAACCACAAAGUGGCUGUGUCCUUAGAAAUGAAGAGGAGAGAGGAAAUGAGAAACAGAAUCCCAUUGUAUGGAUGUAGUACGAUAUAUCAGUUCACCUGCUGAAGGUCACUGGAGUUGUUUCCAGUUUUUGGUGAUUGUAAAUCAAGCUGCACUCAACAUUCAGGUACAGAAUUUUGUGUAGAUGUAAGUUCUAAUUUGUCUAGUGUAAAUACAUGGAAGUGGGAUUUCUGGGUCAUAUAAUAACUGUAUGUUUUAUUUCAGAAGAUGUUGCCAAACCUUUGAAGAGUAGUGAUAGUGUUUUGGAUUUUCAUCAACAAUGUAGGAGAGUUAUACGUGCCCCACAUUCUCAUUAGCACUGGUAUUGUCAGUAUUUUUUAGCUAUUCUAAUAUGCAAAUAGUGUCACAUCAUUGUUCUAAUUUGCAUUUCCCUAAUAGCUAAUGAUGUUACUUAUUUGCCAUCCUGAUAUCCUCUUGCUGAAGUGUCUAUUCAAGUCUAAUGCACAUUUUCUAAAUCAGGCUAUUUGUUUUACUCUUUAAUAUUGAUAACUCUUAAUAUUUCUUGGCUGUGAGUCUUGUAUUAGAUUUGUGGCUCAUCUGUACCUUGUCUUUUCAUUCUCUGUGUAUCUUUCUCAGUUCAAAACUUUUUAAUUUUGAUGAUGUCCAGUUUAUCAAAAAAUUGUAUUUUUAGUGUCAUGUCUAAAAACUCUUUUUCAGACUCCAUAUCAAGAUUCCCUCCUUUGUUUUUGGCUAAAAUUUGAAUGCUUUUAGAUUUUCUAUUUAGAUCUAGCAUGGAUUUUGAGUUCAUUUCUUGCAUAGGAUGUAAGGAAUAGGUUAAAGCUUAAUUUGCACUGAGGCAUCCAAUUGCCCCCGUAGUAUUUGCUGAAUAACAGCCUUUCCUUACUUGAUUGUGUUUACACCUUUGUCAGAAUCACUUAGUGACUUCUUGCAGAUCAAGGUGGGUUCAGGCCAUAAUUCCCAGAAAACUAUCCAGAAUGCUAUAAUCCCAAAUGUUGAAACCCUGACAGAUUAAAAUCCCUAAAGUCUAAAGUCCCAAAAGAUCAAACUCACAAAAACAUGAUUUUGGCUAAAAUAGUUUAAAACUUCUUUAAAAGACAUUUAUUUGAUUUUUAAAGGGGCUUUAUUUUGAGACAAUAUAAAAAAUUAUGGAACACUUCAUAGGCCACUUUACACAAUAGAACAAGCAAUAACAGCACAUAUUUCCAUAAGCAUGAACAAUCAGGUGUAGUAAUAGCAGUCACAUGCAUUUAUAAAGAAAUAGUGAACAAGCAAAAUGUAUAAAUGCAUUUCACUCUGGUUGGUAAUUGUGUGCACCCAGCUUUAUAACUGGUCAUCUGAUGAUGGCCCAAGUACUUGGGUCCCUGCUACCCUGGAUGGAGUUCUGGGCUCCUGGCUUUGGGCUGGCCCAGCACUGGCUGUUGCAACCAUUUGGGGAGUAAACCAGCAGAUAGAAGACCUGUCUCCCUACCUGGGUCACUCUGCCUAUCAAAUAAAUCAAUUUUCUUAAAAAUAAAAAAUAGUAAUAAAAAUAAUUGGUCAUCUGAAGCAUUAUGAUAGACAACCUUAGUCUUUGAUGAUGUUGAUCCCAUCACCACUUACGUAGUCAUCCAAAGAACCGAGGUCUCCAAGAAUUUUAUCUCACUUGAUUGCAGGCAUUCACAAAGGACAUCUCAACACCUCCUGAGUAAGUCUGAGCAUUUAUAUAUAAUACACACACACACAAUGUUUACAAAGUCAGUGCUGCGGUAACACACUGUGUUGGAGUCAAAUUUGCCAAAAAUGUGCAACACAGAUUAGAACUUCCUGAGCAUCUUUGCACAAUGUAUGCCUCUGACAUUGAAAAUGAUGCAAAUUUCUAAAAAUAAUGGUGAAAAAUUAAAAUAGUGUGGGGAAGAUGCUAAAAAAGAAAGAAAACAAAAAAGGAAAAAAACAGCUCAACCUACUGACAAGCGCAUUAUGGGGAUGGAUAAUGGGCAAUUGCAUGGAGAUAGCCUCUGGGAGCUGACUGACUUCCAUGAUCAUUAACUGUGUUUUGAAAUUUUGUGUCACAAUGUCUUUUUCUUCUUUUUUUCUCCCCUAGAAUGCAUUCACAUUGAUUUUUUGGAAAUUCCCACAUGAUUCAUUAUAACUGACAUGAGGAUUCCUGAUUAAACUUUCCCAUCUUCUGCGUCAUGCUUCUAUGUUGUUUUGAUUCCACAUGCACUCAUACACAGAUCUCAAAUAUGGGACAGACAAUCCUGAUUUUUCAACAACAACAUCGCUGCUCUAGUGUCUUAUUAUCCUACAUAAUUAUUUUCAAACCAGUCAGUAACUUCAGUGGCUUCUUCAGUCAAAUGCAGCUUCAAUGUAUUAAAAGCUUUUGGAAUUUCAUCUGUUGGAAGGAAUGCCAAUGCAGAUAAAUGAUGCAUUUUUUGAAUGGAUUUUUCAUCACUCCUGUAUCAUAUAGCUUCCCAGAAACUCUUUUCACCCAUAGGAAUUACAGUUUUCAGGAUUUUGGCUUUCACGAUUUGAAGAUUGAGGGUCUUAAUUUUCCAGGAUUGUGAUUUUUGGGAUUACAGCAUUUCAAGUGUCUUUUGGUACUGCCAUUGACAGACAUCAAAAGGGCAAUGAGUAGUUUUUAUCUGCUCCUUUUUGCUAAAUACAACCACUAGCCUUGGAAAUAAUAUAAGAGGUAACAAAAGAACUCCAAAGAUGGUACUAAGAAGGUGAACUGGCUGGGGACUCUAUGGGGGAAUCAACACAGCAGCACAACAUCCCAUGUCCUGUAUCCAACAGAAGACCACCCAACCCAGCACCAGAAAGUAACUAAUAGUCUGUCCAGCAAAACCAGACAGCCAAGUUCCACUGACAAGUGGGUUGAUUGGAGCCACACCAACACGAAGUGUCUAAGAGCAGGAACCGGAGAUGGAGGCGGAAGGCAGAGGGCUGCAGGACGUGGUGCACUUCCCUUUGGAACCUUCCCAGGCAAGGCUGUGACCCACCUGCUGUUUGUUUUUAAGCUCAGCUGCACACUACAGGUAUCCCUGGAGAAUCUCAGCAGCCCAGGGAUUCUGCCGUCCUUGGAGCCAGGCCGGAGAGGUGGCUGCCCCGGGAAGGCCCCAGCGCUCCCUGCGCCCAGCCGGGCUGGAUGUCCGCAGAUCUUUUCUUUCCCAGGGAAUCUCAUCUGCUCUGAGAGCACAGCCAGCUGCAACCAAGAAAUUGGAAGUCCUCAGAAAACAAAAGGUAAACUUUCCGAAAGGCUCGGCUCCUUUUUAACCCUGCAGGAAGAGGUUUACAUGGCCGGUAUUGGAUAGCAGGCCGGGCCCAGUGAACACAUCUCUCCCACCACAAAUCACCCCGUGGCAUUCUUAGUUGACACUGGUCAAAUAAACACAGGGAUGGCAAGGAGCUGCUUGUGCUGAAAUGCGAAACGAGGGCAAGGAAACGAGACACACGGCAUGGGCACGAGAAUCGGGAGCUGGUCUGACGUCCACGUGGGUUCCUGCCUCUGUUCUCCCUGCUGUGAACAUGUAAUUUUGAGUCCGUAUCCUAUGGAUAGCAUUCCCUCAAAACCAUUCCUGUCCAACUCAGACCAGUCUACGAGAGGCGGCCGACAGCCGACAGCUGAAGGGAGACAUCUCCCUGGUAGCAAGAGCAGGUGUUCUGUGCCUGAAGUCUUAGAUGGAGUAAGACUGUACGUUCUCUUCGUAAACUAAAACCUUACAUUUGUCACCAUUUAGAGAAAACAGAAAGCAAUAUUAGGAGGAAUGAGUUUCUGCGAGAGAAUAAGCCACCUUCGGCAACUGCUUUAAGUAUUUAGGAGCACUCGCUGGGAUUCAGAGUCGGGAGGAAACGUGUUAGAUUUGUCACUUGUCAUCCGACAUUCCUUUUCGGGCCACCCAGUCUAGCAGCUCAGUGCUUGCUACCGCAGACUUCCCAUUGGCUUUUCAUGCAGCGAGUCCCCAGGAUAGUGCCUGGCUGGUCACUGGUCUGUAGAGCUGCCGGGCACUGCGAGGUUGCCACUGCUGGACAGCUGACGGUAUCCGACCGUUUCCAACAAGGGCUGACACCAUGCCCCCACUGUUUGCCUCUGGCCACACACUCUAUAUCUUCACUGGCUUCCUUGUUGUAACCACAGGCUUCUGUCAGCCUGUCACUGACCACUUUGCCCUGGCGUGCAGUAAGUUCUAGAUCCCUACAAAGUCUGCAAAGGCUGAGGAGAGCCGGAGCAUGAGCGGCCACAGGCCACUGGCCCCAACACCUCCCUAGAAAGAGCUAUGCAAUAGCUCGCCAGUGUGUGUGCGUGGGCCUAAGUAAAAGGCAGGCAUCACAUGGUUUCUUGGGAUACUGGGGCUGUCCUGCCACAGCGAAUCACAAAACACAAAACUGUUGGCCAGCGAUUACCACUGGGCAGCUGGUUGUUGCCGGAUUGGCUUCCCCUCACCUUCCACAAACCCCAUCUCUCUGUAACACAGAGUUCAAGAGGAAAUGGCCAUACGCUCAACCCGUGUAAAGCAGGCAGCUGUGGACAGCUGGCUCUCCGAGCUAUACAUGGAACCUGCCUCUGCUCUCCUGGCAGCUUUUUGUGUGGAACUAGAAUGGCCUAGCUUUGACUCCUGGCAGAGGAAGUGACAUCCAUGUGGCGAGGUCAUUUGAAUGGUGUACGUUGCAUAGUUCUAAUGAACUUGAAUGUGCCCUGAGCUCCAUGCUCUCCCAUCAAGUCUAGAACUCUGUGGUCCCCUCCUGCUCAUGGGACAACCGUGAGACACCCCAUUCUGAAUUUACAGGCAUUGUAUUGCUAUCAAAUUGCUGCAACUCAAGUUUGCUGUCUUAGUGUCUGGAUACAACUCUGUGCAUUUCAUAGUCUUUCAUGAAGGCUGAGCGAUAUACAAAAAAAAAAAAAAAAAAAGGCCCCAGUGGCUUCCUAUUUUUUUUAAGAUUUAUUUAUUCACUUGAAAGUCAGAGUCACACACACAGAGAGAGGGAGAGACAGAGAGAGAGAGAGGUCUUCCAUCCGCUGGUUCACUCUCCAGAUGGCCACAACAGCCAGAGCUGUGCCAAUCCGGAGCCAGGAGCCAGGCACUUUUUCCUGGUCUCCCACGUGGGUGCAAGGGCCCAAGGACUUGGGCCAUCUUCUGCUGCUUUCCCAAGCCAUAGCAGAGAGCUGGAUUGGAAGUGAAGAAGCCGGGACUGGAACUGGUGCCUGUAUGGAAUGCCAGCAAUACAGGCGGUGGCUUUACCUGCUAUGCUGCAGCGCCGGCCCCAUGGCUUCCUCUUAGAAGGUAGGAUUUUCACAUGAUUUUGGUUUUUGUCUUUUCUUUGUGCUUUUCUGUAUGGUUUCCUAUACCAGAUAGUGCUACGUUUACUAGAAAAUGGAAACCUUUAUGUUCCCAGUUACUUUAUUAUUAUUUUGGAAAUAGUUACUUUUCCUGAAGAUGCCACUUAUGAUUCCUUAGAAUGGGUGUUAUUGUUACUUUUAAAUGAGUUAACCAACAUCUAAAUUCCUCUGUUUUAGUUUACAGUACCGUAAACAAUGACAGAUAAAACUUACAGAAACAAUAUUCUUCAGAGACUUCAGUAGCUGUGGUAUAGCGGCAGGCAUUUAGCCUAGUGAUUAAGAUGCCCACAUUAUACAUCGACUCUGGCUCUUAACUCCAGCUUCCUGCCAGGGCGCCCGUGGGAGGCAGCCGUGAUGGCUUAAGUAAUCAGGUUUGCCACCCAUGUGGGAGACUUGGAUUACAUUCCUGGACCCUGACACUGGCCCUGCUCCAGUCUGGCCAUUGCAGAUGUGAGAGGAAUGAACCUAGCAUGGAAGCGCUCUCUCUCACUCUCGCUCUCUCCCCCUCCCUCCCUCUCUUUCCCUCUUCCUCUCUCAAAUAAAUAAAAUUUCAAAAAAUUAGAAUAUAAAGAGUUCAUGAGACCAAAAAUAUUGAGAAUCAUAUAAGAGUAUAGAAGACACAUAGGAUUUGGAAUUUGAAAAUCUAAAUUCAAGUUCCGGUUCCAUCACUUAGCUGACAUCAGUUAUAGCUAAUUUUAAGUGUGACUCUCAUGUCAGAUGUCUGGGUUCGUAAUUUUGGCUCCAAGCUUGCUGGUGGUAUUACUUUGGGUGAGUCAUUUAAUCUCCAUCUACAGGGAUAAGUAAUAACACCUAUUCUGUUGGGUUGCUAUAAGCCUCAAAUGGCAUUAGACUGUUUAAAUGCUUACAUUUGUACCUAGACCAUAGUAAGAGCUUAGUCGACACUAUUAUUAGUCUGAAACUUUUCUUUACAUUUUUUACUUAUCUGAAAUGCAGAAACAGAAGGAGAGGGAGAUGGACAGACAGACAGAGAUGUCCCAUCCACUAGUUCAUUCCCCAGCUGCUUACAACAAUGAGGGCAGGGCCAUGCCUGAGCUGGGAGCUGGGGUCUUAGUCUGGAUCUCCCACAUGCAUUGAGAGAUUCAAGUGUUGGAGCCAUCGCUCUGCCUCCCAGUGUGCAUGUCAGCAUGGAAGUGGACCAGCAGAACUGUGACUCAAAACCAGGCCUCCAGUGUGGGAUGCAGCUGUCUCGAGUGGAGGCGUACCUGCUCUUCCCAGAGCCCAGCCUGAAACAUUUUUUCUAAAUGAGGAAAAGUUCCUUUCUUUUUCCUCUUCUCACAGUUAAAAAUUGUCAGUAAUAAAGGGUGAUUCUACAGGGAGGAAGUGUUUACCAAAGCCACCUUCUGUGGCCUACCUCCUGCUGCCCCUGGGCGUGUACUGACAUCAGAGUGGACGGUUGAUGUUUCCCAGGAGGUGAACUGGACUAAAGCAGGUUGUGAUGCUAAAGCAACAAAAAGUUAUGAAUGUUGCAGGGUGGCGCAGAAGGCUGGGAAGAUUCAGACAGCCAAGCCCUAGGACCAGCAUCUCCUAAUGUGACCCCAAAGUGACUCUUCCCGGGCACACAUGGAACCCCCAGAAACACCGUGGGCCACUGUCUCUGGAGCUCUCCAGUCCUACAGAAAGCAGGCGGCCCUCCCCUCUUUCCCCCUUCUCUCCCCUCCCCACUUUUCCUCUCUCCUGCACUCAUCUCCCUUCCUUCCCCUUCUCUCCCCUCCCUUCUUCCCCAGGCUUCUCUGGCCCCUCCUCCCUUCUCAGCCCCUCUCCUCCUUCCCGACCCCCUGCCUCAUCCCUCCGUCUGGGGAUUGGCAGUGCUGUUCUCUGUCCAGCCAUCAUCUUCCAAGUGAUGGCCUUCCAGGAACACGGCUGAGGAGGAGGCUAGGAGGCCUCCAGCACUGGGCCUGGCAGCUGCUCACUUUGCAGGAAGGUGAACUGUGUUGAGGCAUUGGGCGCCCCUAGUGGGGCUCGCUGUGCUCAAUCCCACAGACACCAUAGACUGUGCAGAGCGGAGGAUGCCUUUAGUGAGAAAAGAUUGAAGCAGGACUUGCAAAACCAAGCCCCUGCUGACCUGUCAUGGUUCCACCGGCUCUGGCCCCUCACUCUCCCAGAGAGCCGUGCGUCACCGUGCUUUCCAACAAUGUUUCAUCAGGAAUUCUCUCUAAGAUCCUGCAACCCCACAGCAGCGUGCGACAGGCUGUGGAGUAAAGAGUGACGCAGAGCUGUGACCCCACAGAAGAGCAAAGGGCGGAAGUGCAACCCUGAGGCUUGACACAGCUCGGGCUCUUCGCGCCUGCUGUCUGCACCUGAGAGCGUCUGAAUGCUCAUGAACGUGGCCCCUUCCCUCUGACGGGGAAAGCCUCCCCCUGGAGGCUGCCUCAGGAAUCGCCGCGGCGAGGCCCAGCCCAGUUCUGGCUCACUCUUUUUAAAUUGGCAGAGAGUGCCUCCUGAACACCUGCUCUGUGCAGUCAGCCCCGCACGGCAGCACGCUGUUUAACUCGCGACUUUGAAAAUUCCACCUAGAACCCUGGGCAACUUCACCGUGAAGCCAUAAAAGCGCCUGUUUGGCUAAGGCGAUGUUUCCUAAUCUAUAAUUCAUGCGAUCCUCUCCAAGUACUUUUAACAGAUGUUCAUGCAUACCUGAGCUGGUAGACCAUCUCCAUUAACAACUGCUGCUUCUGGAAGGCAGGGAAGCUGCUCCUCAUCUGCAGGCUCAAGUUCAGGUUGGAAUGGGGAUCGUGUUUCCAUUCGGGCAUUUUUAAAGAAACAUUAGUAGGAGCUCGAAAGUUCCUGAUGAAUGGCAGGACAUAAAUACGUGAGCAGUGUGACCGCGGCAUAAUGGAUUCAUGCAGGCAGGAAUUCGUUCCGUGGUCUUACUUGAUAGAUGCUAAUCCCUACCUUGUUCAAAUUGAUUUGAUUUGAGGUCCCUGGUCUCAUAGUGACAACAAAGAAGCUUAGAGGAAUAGUGACACUUCCUGAGAAAGAGCAACAGUUCCCACACGUGUCCCGGAGGAUGAACGAGUCACUGUAGGGCAGGGUGACAGAAGUUGAGUGUCUCAAGUACUGAGAUAGAGUAUCAAGCUUGCAGUGAAAAGAGUAAUGUGGCCCUGGUUGUUUGUGCCUGAUGUGCCUGUCAUCAGGGUUGGGCAAUGAGCUGGGCUGGGCCCAUGUUCAGGAUCUUUCUAGAUUAGCUUCCAACCACACAAGUUGUUGACAUCAUCGUCCCACUGUAAACAGUCAAGAAACUACUGACAUCAUUAACUGAGGUCAAGGAGUUGUGCCCCCAAACCUAAGUGACUGUAAAAGAAAAGUAGUCCUCAGUGUUCCAUCCAGUGAACCUGGAGAGACGCAAGUACAGGAUAGAGAAGUGGGCUCACCGCUCUGGUAGCAGGAUUCGACUCCGGGCACUUGUUCCCACCCUACACUGAUGGAGCAGGGGUUCUCACAGCAGCAGACAUCAGAGUCCUCUGGAUUCUGGGGAGUGCUGAGCUCUGAUCUCACGGGAACCACUUCAGUAGGUAUGGGAUGAGACCUGAGACUGUAUUCUUGACAAGUUCCUGGGGGAUCCCCACUGCUGCUGCAGAGUUCAGGAAGAUGCCCACAACCAGGAGCGCUGCUCUCAGGCUCCUCCAGGUUUGGGCCCCUCUGCAAAGUGGCUACUCCCCAGCCGGCGCCAUGGCUCAAUUGGCUAAUCCUCCGCCUGCGGCGCCGGCACCCUGGGUUCUAGUCCCCGUCGGGGCGCCAGUUCUGUCCCAGUUGCCCCUCUUCCAGUCCAGCUCUCUGGUGUGGCCAGGGAGUGCAGUGGAGGAUGGCCCAAGUGCUUGGGCCCUGUACCCGCAUGGGAGACCAGGAGAAGCACUUGGCUCCUGCCUUUGGAUCAGUGCAGUGCACUGGCUGCAGGGGCCAUUUGGGAGGUGAACCAACAGCAAAAGGAAGAGACCUUUCUCUCUGUCUCUCUCUCUCACUGUCCACUCUGCCUGUCAAAAACAAAACAAAACAAAAAACAACAACAUAGUGGCUACUCCCCAUCCAUGUUUAUCAGUUUAUCAGUUCAAGAAUUCAAGAAAUCCCAGAUAUUGGUUCUUAUUUCUCACCUAAUUUAGUGCACUCAGACAGCCUGCUUGCUCUUGUCCCUGUGUCUGUUGAUUCUACUACUCUUGCUCUGAAUAUAUUCCUUCUAACUUCACAAAUUCUCUAGCUCUUCUCAUUCCUCCCUCAAACUUUUUCUAUGGAAAAAUCUCUGACUUCCCUCUCUCAUCCACAAUGUCUCUGUUCAUUUGAAUCUGUAUCUUAACGGCCUAACUUGGCUAGAGAGACCAUGGAAACAGAAAUAACACCAUGCUCUUUUUUAUAAAGAUUUAUUUGUUUAUUUGAAAGUCAGAGUUACACAGAAAGGCGGAGAGAGAGAGAGAGAGAGAGGUCUUCUAUCCGGUAGUUCACUCCCCAGUUGGCCACAACAGCCAGAGCUGUGCUGAUCCGAAACCAGGAGCCAGAAGCUUCUUUUGGGUCUCCCCUGUGGGUGCAGGGGCCCAAGGACUUGGGCCAGCCUCUACUGCCUUCCCAGGCCAUAACAGAGAGCUGGAUCGGAAGUAGAGCAGCUGGCUCUUGAACCAGCAACCAUAUGGGAUGCUGGCGCUUCAGGCCAGGGCGUUAACCCACUGCGCCACAGUGCUGGCCCCAACACCAUGCUCUUUGUUUCAUGACCUUUUACAGCACUUAAUAAAUACUAGUGGACUUAAGUCCUUAAAUAUGUUGGCAGCUAUAACAUUCAGAGUUUACAGGUGAUUCCUCUUUAAUUCAUAAUUUGGAAGUAUGAACUCUACAAAAUUUUAAAUAACAAGUAGUCAAGAAGCAAAUAUGUUUAUUCAAGUGGAGAUUAUUUCUUGACAAAGACAUGAAAAUAGAUGAUACCUUAUGUGGAUAAUUAUUAGAUCCACGUAAACUGGGCUUUCAUAGAAGCAGUAUGUGAUGUUCUUCUUUUAGUUGUAAGCCAAUCAUCCAAAAACCUAGACAAAUGCAGGUAUGUAAGAGAAGGUGUGUAAAAUGCAAUCAAAACAGGCUGCAGUGUUCUGCUUUUUCAGCUGGUAAGACGUGCAGUAAUGUGAACCCCUUUUAAAUAAAAUACAUGAAUUCAUUAUCACAUAAAAAUAAGUAGACUCAAAACGUGGUCCUUUUAGAAACAGAGCGUUAAGAAACAGAAUGCAUCAGUGUAGUCAAAGCAAAAUCAAUACGGCUGUUUCACUAUGGCAUUCUACAGAGACGUCUAGUACAUGGAACUUGUUGGGAAAAUGAUCCACACCUAAUAAAACACAAGAACUGGAAGAGACAAUCCUUCAUUUGCAUAAAAGAACCUACACUGACAGAAAACACAGCCACCAGCCUGCCUGUAUGUGAAUUUUGAGAAAGUGUGGACCUCAUCUGAGUGCCGUGCAAGUUAAGAAGUUGAAUUUGAUGAUCUCUAGGGCCCUUCCACUCUAAGCUCCAACACGAUGUUUACACAGCCUUGGGAGGAUAAACUCGUCUUGUACUAUGUGUUCUGUUCUUAACUAAGAAUGUCAGGAUUAUUGUACCAUGAAAGCAUUGUCAUAGAAGGUGGGGAUUUGCUUUAAUUGUGACUAAAGUCAUAGGACAGACCACAGAAGUCCUGCUCUUCACUUGAACCCGAAGUUUCAGGGAAGUGAGGAAGCUUGAAUUGGGGUUCUUUGGUCUUGUUGGAGAAAAAUACAGGUGUGUUGAGAGCACCUUUGAAAUAGAAUAAGACUGUGCUCCAGGUGCCAUAUGUGGGAGGAAAUUAAAGCAAACAUAUUUUUGUGCACGCUACAUUUACCUUGGCUUUCCAAACCUCACUGUUUGUAUGCCUUGUAUACAUCAACCUUCUCUGCUUCCUUGAAGUAGAAUUUUAGUGCAUGCAGAUUUACUGGCACAUAAAACUUUCCUGUAGUUGCCAGAAUUUCAGUUUGCAUAUAAGCAAACUUUGAGUCGCUCUGAGAAAGGAUAAUCAGAAAAAGAAGAAGCUGGAUAUAGAGAAGAGGAAAUGUGAGAAAAAAGGAAGAGCGGUAGAAGUGUUUCCAGUGACAUUUAAAAAAUACAAAAGAAUAAAUGAAAAUAGUGUUUCCUUUCCCAAACUUGAGGAUCCAUAUUUAUGAAAGCCCUUGAACUGACUUUUGGUUCUGAUCCUGAUGAAACAAGAAAUCCUCCCAACAUAAAAACUACGAAACUGGACAAAAUAUAAAAGCCACUGCUCUCAGGCGGUGGACAACAGAGCACAGGGCUGUGGGCUUUGAAAGCAAGGAAGUGGUGGAUUCAGCCCGCCAGCCUCGCUGGGGACACUUUCCAAACUGUGGCACAGGAGAAUGUAGCCCAACAGAUAGUAGCAGUCUGUGUGGUGUGAGGAAACGGAGACUGGGUUCAAGGCUGUUAGGAGAGCGAGGAUUUAGGGACUGGAGUACAACAGAGAAGGAAACUUCUCAAAUUCUUGGAGGGUCCUUUCGAUCCUGGAGUCUUUGGUUAAAGACCAAGCUGUGCCUGGGCGGGGUGAGAGCCUCUGGGGCCCAGGAUUGCAGCUGGAGGGCUCUGAGAGGAGCAGAGGUGCUGGAGGUCAGGAAGAACAGCGAGAUGUUGGAGUCCUGCCAGCCGGAGCGCGAGCACUUGUGGAAUCCCUCAGGUGUUCAGGCGAAAGCAAGAAGGGCCACACGGUCCUAGAACUAGAGUUAUCAAUGUAGCGUGAGGUUAGUCUCGGCAAACUCAGAUGGCUCCAUCGGUAAAUUAACUGGGUGCCAGAAGUGAACUCAAGUAAGCAUCAAAAUUUGGCACCAGUAGCUUGCUCGCUCAAAGGCCCUGAACACAAUAAAAAAAUUGCCAGAUGUUACGAGAAGCAGGCAAAUGUGGUCUAAAAUCAGAAGGAAAAAAAUCAAUAGAAACAAACCCAAAGGUGACACAUUAAAAUUAGCAGACAAGACUUUAAAACAGGUAUUCUAAAUUUGCUCAGGGAUUUAAAGGAGAAUAUUGACAUAAGUAGUCAGCAGAUAUGGAAUUUCAAUCAAGAAAUGAGAAAUAAUAAAAAGGUAAUUAAAUGGAAAGUAUAGAGCUGAAAAUAAAAUAUCUGAAAUAAAAAUUUCUUUAUAUUUUUAAUUGAAUGCUUUUUUUAAGGUAUUGAUAAUAGCAAAUAUUGGGGAAAAUGCAUUGCUCAUCAAUGGGAUGUUAAGAAAAAUACCAUCAAUGUUAAUUGAUAAUUAACAUAAUAAUUUCAAUGUAUUGAAACAACAUAUAAUUAUGCAGAAAAAUACAUGCUGCUAUGGAAAAUGACCAUAGUGGAUUGAUUUUUUGAAUACUAUCAGAUACCAUAUAUUAAUCACUUUUUGGAAAAUGAAUAUGAUAAAUGUGAAUAUACUUUUCUAUGAAUAUAUAAAGGAUUGUGAUGCUUGGUAGCACAUUCAACAAUGAAUCAUUAGCGGUUGUACCUAAAAUUUUCAUGCAUUAUGUUGGCUUAGUAGCAGACUGGACACUGCUGGAAGAGGCUGGUGAAAAUCCCAAGAUAAUAGAAGCUAUCAAAACUGAAGGACAGAGAGAAAAAAGGACCCAAAAACAUAGACAGAGCCUCGGUGCCCUGUGGGACAGUAUCCAGUAGUCUCAUAUACACACAAAUAGUCGCAGAAGAAGGAAAGAUAAAAGUUGAGGAAGAAAAAAGCAUUUAAUGAAAUAAUUAAUUUCCAACUUGUAGAAAAAUGUCAGCCCAUAGACUGAAGACUCCCAGCAAGGCUGAAAUAGAAUAGGCACGGUGUCCACACUGAGACACACGGUAGUCAAAUGCUGAGGAGCAGAGGCUGACGUCAGCGGGCUGGGCUGGGGGCAGGGUCCCAGUACAUGUGGGAGAACAGAUCACCGGUGACUUCUCCCCGGACACAGAGUCCACCUGGCGUCAGCAGAGUGGCGUUGUUGAAGUGCUGAAGGGAGGGGUAGGCCAGUUCUACAGCCAGUUAGAAUAUCUUUUAAAGAUGAAGGUGGAAAGAGACGUUUUCCAAAAAACAAACAAACAAACAAACAAACAAAAAAAAACAACCCGGAAGCUGAGAGACUUUGUUGCCAGCAAACCUGGGCUACAGUAAGUGCAAAAGGAUGCUUUUCAGGCUCAGGGCAAAUAAUACCGGUUGUAAAUUCAGAUCUAUACAAGAGAAUGAAGAGACCCCAGAAAUGGCAAAUUCAUGCAUAAAUGUAAAAGAGCUUUUUGUAAACAACAACAAAAAAAUCCUUAACAGGUAAACUGACUGUUUAAGAGCAAAAUAAAUAACAUUGCAAUUUCUUCUUGGUCCUUGGCUAAGAUCAAGUGUAAUAACAUAUUGUAGCGUUUAUAGCAUAUGUUGAAAUAUGUUGUAUAACAACAAUAGCACAAAGAUAGAGUGUGGUAAGUGGAUAUAUAUGAUUUAAGGUUUCAUAUGGGAAGAGGUGUAAUGAGCUAGUUAAAGAUGUAAAGCUAGCCUCUAUAGCAAACAUUAAAAUUGAAAAGAAAGAGGUAUAACUCAAAAAGCAAACAUUGGGAGAAAAACGGAAUUACCGAAAACCAAAAAACACAAUCCAAAAAAAAUCAGGGAAUGAGAUAAAAAUAAACACCCGCCACCCCCACUCCAUGGGACAAAUGGAAAACAAACAACAAAUAAACCUGAGUCAAGUGUGAUGGUCCCCGAGGAGACUCAGUUCCUGUGGGAAGAGCCCUUGGGGAUCCUGCUGCACUCACUGCAUCACAUACAGCAGGCACCAACUCAGUGGUAUUUUUUUUUUUUCUGACAGGCAGAGUUGGACAGUGAAAGAGAGAGAGAGACAGAGAGAAAGGUCUUCCUUCUGUUGGUUCACCUCCCAGAUGGCCGCCACCACCAGCGCACUGUGCCGAUCCGAAGCCAGGAGCCAGGUACUUCUCCUGGUCUCCCAUGGGGUGCAGGGCCCAAGGACCUGGGCCAUCCUCCACUGCCCUCCGGGGCCACACCAGAGAGCUGGCCUGGAAGAGGGGCAACCGGGACAGAAUCCGGUGCCCUGACCGGGACUAGAACCCGGUGUGCCGGCGCCACAAGGCGGAGGAUUAGCCUGUUGAGCCGCGGCGCCGGCUUCUACCAAGGACUUUUAACAGGAGGUUUGGGAAUUCUACGUGGUCACAGAUGCAGCACACCCCAACAUAAACAACUGUCACCCCAGCGAUCAAGAGAUUCCUGAUUCCACUGGUAGUUUUACUGCAGCUGCUUGAGACAAGAGGCUUUGUGCACAGCCUCUCAUGUGCUUUGCCUGGCACAGACAGUCUGAGCAUCUGAUGGAGAGGAAGACAUUAGUGAAGGAGGCAAGAGUGUGCGGUGCAAGUGUUGCACAGUCCUCGGCCUGAGUUCUAGGUGGCCCUGCAGCAGGGCUGGAGAGAAAGACAGUGAGCCAGGUGCAGAUGUCCUCCUGGAGUGUGGAAGCCUCAGGUGGCUGGCCUGGGGAACGGGCCAUGAGGGUUGUAGACGUGAGGAACUGCAGCUGCAAAGCAGGGGUGUGUUUAUGGUAGACCCGGCAGGGCAGAAGGGAACCCUGGGAGGAAGGGUCAAGCUGGGGUAGCAUCAGAUGAUGACACGGGACCGGUGAAAGGAGGCUUGGUUCUGUGUAUUUCCUUUCGCAUUUGCUCGCUUUGCUGGGACGCCAGUCCGUGUGGACUGUGCUAAGGGGAUCCGUCUUUUGUCGUUGUUCUUCAGAGUGGAACAGGACACGGGCCCCGGCGGACGCAAGGGAAAGGCCUGUCCCACAGAGCAGAACGGACCCCUCUCCGGGUCAGGAACUGCCCUUUCUGGAGCUGCUCUCUGUGCACACACGGGGAGAGCUCCCGGUUUCAAGUGUGAGGGCAGAUUCUUGCUUCGCAGAUAAUGACUUGGAUUUAAUUCCGUCACUGCUGUUGUAAUGUGAAGUCAGCCUCCAUGUGGUUCAUUUUCUCCAUCUAUACACUGUGGAGUAGGAUAUUUACAAUACAUUCGACUGAUAGAGAGCCUCAUAAAACAAGUCAUUACCAAGACUUUUAUGUAAUGUGUGCGAUAAAACAAAAUUGACUCUAUUUCUCCAGCCUUUCAAACAAUGUGCAUUGAAGUCAAUAAAAUUUAAACCUAAUUUAAAUACAAACUUUAGUGAUUUAAAGCAAUUUUUAAUAUGCUAUGAACUAAGCUUUUUUACUUUAUUCAGAAAGCAUGAACAUUAUUUUCUUGUUCUCUGAUGACCUCUUAUCAGUAAUAAAAGCCAAGAUAUUACCUCCAUCAAAAUUCUGUACUCCAUUGUAGUUUCUGAAGGAGAUUUUUUACUCUGUUAUCUUGGUAGUAUUUAUCCAGAUGCAUUACACAUAAGGACUGAUCUUUCCUUCAUCUUUGUUAACUCUGAUUUCUUUGUGUUUUCAGUGGAAUUCAAAAGUGUCACUCCUUUUUUUUUUUAAGAUUUAUGUAUUUAUUUGAAAGGCAGAGUUACAGAGAGGCAGAGACAGAGAGAGAGAGAGAGAGAGAGAGAGAGAGGUCUUCCAUCCACUAGUUCACUCCCUAGAUGGCCACAGUUGCCAGAGCUGGGCCAAUCUGAGCCAGGAGCCAGAGCCAGGAGCUCCUUCUGGGUCUCCCACACGGGUGCAGGGGCCCAAGGACUUGGGCCAUCUUCUACUGCUUUCCCAGGCCUUAGCAGAGAGCUGAAUUGGAAGUGGAGCAGCCAGAACUCGACCCGGGACCCAUAUGGAUGCCAGUACUGCAGGUGGUGGUUUUACUCGCUACGCUACAGUGCUGACUCCCCGUUACUCCUUAAAAACA